CUCUUGAUUUUGCAAAAUCAUGUACAUUUUCUCUCUUUUUUGAUUUUUUUGUUUUUCUUGCUCACCUCUUUUUUUUGUGAUAAAUCAUUCUCACUUGAUCUCUCAACCUCUCCUUUUCCUCUCUUGAGUUAUCAUUUUUCACUCCCUUACUCCUCUCUUUCUUUUCUCUCUCAAGUUUUUCUUUCGACUCUCCCAUUUUUCUAUAUUCCCCGCUCACUUGAAAAGGAUAAA
rnacentral:lncRNA from 1 species